AUGGGAGAGGCUCCAAAAUCCACCCAAAUCAUCGACCUCCAGCCCCCCGGGGGGUCCCUGCGCCUCCUCUGCCGCGCCUCGGGGUUCACUUUCGGCAGUUUCGCCAUGCAAUGGAUCCGCCAGAGACCCGGGCAGGGGCUGGAAUACGUCGCGGGGAUCAACAGCGAUGGUGACGACACCAGAUACGCGCCGUCGGUGAAGGGCCGGGCGACGAUCUCCAGGGACAACGGGCAGAGCUCGGUGACGCUGACCAUGAACGGCCUCAAGGACGAGGAUUCCGGCUCCUAUUUCUGUGCCAAAGCUGCCCCCCAAACCAGGCCCAGUUUCACCCUGAGCUCGGCCUCGUCCCCCCAAUCCCAACCAGCGCCCCCAGACUCGUCCGGUUCGGCCCCAAAUUUCCGCUGCCGGCGCCGAGUCACAGCCGUGCCCCAAAUCUGCCCCGCGGGCCUCACACCGGGAAUUUCGGCCCAAAAUUGGAAUUCUUGGCCCCUCGCCCGAGCCUUGGGCCCAAAUCUUGAGCGAUUCAAUAAAAUCUGGGGGCCGAGGGCGCUGGGCGUGGCCCAGAGGUGA